rnacentral:rRNA from 1 species
AGUGAACGCUGGCGGUAGGCCUAACACAUGCAAGUCGAACGGCAGCACAGUAAGAGCUUGCUCUUACGGGUGGCGAGUGGCGGACUGGUGAGGAAUACAUCGGAAUCUACUUUUUCGUGGGGGAUAACGUAGGGAAACUUACGCUACUACCGCAUACGACCUACGGGUGAAAGCAGGGGAUCUUCGGACCUUGCGCGAUUGAAUGAGCCGAUGUCGGAUUAGCUAGUUGGCGGGGUAAAGGCCCACCAAGGCGACGAUCCGUAGCUGGUCUGAGAGGAUGAUCAGCCACACUGGAACUGAGACACGGCCCAGACUCCUACGGGAGGCAGCAGUGGGGAAUAUUGGACAAUGGGCGCAAGCCUGAUCCAGCCAUACCGCGUGGGGGAAGAAGGCCUUCGGGUUGUAAAGCCCUUUUGUUGGGAAAGAAAAGCAGCAGGUUAAUACCCCGCGGUAAUGACGGUACCGAAAGAAUAAGCACCGGCUAACUUCGUG